rnacentral:SRP_RNA from 2 species
GCCGGGUGUGGUGGCUCACGCCUGUAAUCCCAGCACUUUGGAAGGCCGAGGCGGGUGGAUCACCUGAGGUCAGGAGUUCGAGACCAGCCUGACCAACAUGGUGAAACCCCGUCUCUA